rnacentral:lncRNA from 1 species
GGUGGCUCCGAUACCACUGUUGAGUUUCGACUACGUAGUGAAAAAUAAUUUUUAAAUAUUUUAAAACUAAGCAAGUCAAUAGCCUUAACAAUUAAAAUUAUUGAACCGAAAUCCAAACCUUCAAAUCACCUUGCCGAUGUUGAUAAAAACAAAACAAGCAUGCAAAGGGAUAGAAUUUUGUAGUUUUACCAAAAAGAUGAUGUGGCACAUUGGUGAUCUCUAUAAGACUCCAAAGUAGAAGCCCCCA